rnacentral:tmRNA from 1 species
GGGGAUGAACGAUUCGACGGAGACUCGUACAUUAAAAACUGCAAGCCGGCGAUGAUACACGAGCCGUAAAACUGUAUCAAAAUCCAAUUGCUGAGAACAAACUUAGCAAGCUUGAGGAACAGUAUCUCGCUCUUCUUGAGCGUCUUGCUCUCAAGCGAUCUAUGCAGGGACGAACGCUUGCGUUUGUGACUGCGUAAGAUCCAUCUCAUGAAUUUUCAUCCGGUGAAAGACAUGGGGUGAAAAAACAGCCGGAUCGUCAGAAAUCAGUUGACCGCCUGAUUUCGGAGCAGGGAUUGGUCGAACCCGAUUACCCAUUUUGUCUAUUUUUAGAGAGUAAUCGGUAUCAAAUAGACUACGCUUGUAGACGUUUUUUUCGUAUAUCUUCGGACCCGAGCUCAUUACUCGGCAUCUCCACAC